UACGGAGGGUGCGAGCGUUAAUCGGAAUCACUGGGCGUAAAGCGCGCGUAGGCGGCUUUUCAAGUCAGGGGUGAAAUCCCACGGCCCAACCGUGGAACUGCCUUUGAAACUGUAGAGCCUGAGUGUCGGAGAGGGUGGCGGAAUUCCAGGUGUAGGAGUGAAAUCCGUAGAUAUCUGGAGGAACACCGGUGGCGAAGGCGGCCACCUGGACGACAACUGACGCUGAGGUGCGAAAGCGUGGGUAGCAAACAGG
rnacentral:rRNA from 1 species